GACGAACGCUGGCGGCGUGCUUAACACAUGCAAGUCGUACGGUAAGGCCCUUUCGGGGGUACACGAGUGGCGAACGGGUGAGUAACACGUGAGUAACCUGCCCACAACUUUGGGAUAACGCUAGGAAACUGGUGCUAAUACUGGAUAUGUUCUUCUGCUGCAUGGUGGGGGUUGGAAAGCUCCGGCGGUUGUGGAUGGACUCGCGGCCUAUCAGCUUGUUGGUGGGGUAGUGGCCUACCAAGGCGGCGACGGGUAGCCGGCCUGAGAGGGUGACCGGCCACAUUGGGACUGAGAGACGGCCCAGACGCCUACGGGAGGCAGCAGUGGGGAAUAUUGCACAAUGGGCGCAAGCCUGAUGCAGCAACGCCGCGUGCGGGAUGACGGCCUUCGGGUUGUAAACCGCUUUCAGCAGGGACGAAGCUUUUUGUGACGGUACCUGCAGAAGAAGCACCGGCUAACUACGUG
rnacentral:rRNA from 1 species